rnacentral:rRNA from 1 species
UACGGGGGGGGCAAGCGUUGUUCGGAAUUACUGGGCGUAAAGGGCUCGUAGGUGGCCAACUAAGUCAGACGUGAAAUCCCUCGGCUUAACCGGGGAACUGCGUCUGAUACUGGAUGGCUAGAGAUUGGGAGAGGGAUGCGGAAUUCCAGGUGUAGCGGUGAAAUGCGUAGAUAUCUGGAGGAACACCGGUGGCGAAGGCGGCAUCCUGGACCAACACCGACGCUGAGGAGCGAAAGCCAGGGGAGCAAACGGG